UACCGCCCUCCGAAAAGAAAAGAAAAAGAAGGAGCCGCUUGGGUUAGGUUUGAGGUGAGGUGAGAAAAAGGAGAUAGGCGGUACCGAGGCGAGGGGCGCGGGUGGCGGCGGAGGCGGAAGGAGAAGGUGCGGGGCGGCGCGCCGGUGGUGGUGGUGGUGUUCGGUUUCGGGCGGAGGUCGAGGUCCGGGUGGUGGUGGGAGACGAGGCGGCGCGGGAGGAGGUGCGGGAGGGAGCGGCUGGUCGACCUCGGCGAGAGGGCGUACGACGAGUGGCUGUUCGGGUGGGGGCGGCGGCUGGCGCGCGUCGCGGGGUGGGGCCUCGGGUGGACCCAGUUGGGGAGGUCCGGCGCGGGGUGCCACGACAGGGAGGCGGCGGUCGCGGCGGCGGGCCGGCGGUUGGUGGGGAGGAGCCGCGGCGAGGUCGGCGACGAGGCGCUGGACGCACGCGACGGCCUCCUGCGGCUGGACCGCGGGUGGGACGUGCGGAAGAAGGGCGAGGGCCCGAGGGGCGGGUGGAGGAGGCUGCGCGACGAGGAGGAGUUGAUGGAGGUGGGCAGGACCGCGUUCUGCGAGAGGGAGGACAGGAUGGAGGCGCGGGAGGGGCGGCUGCGGCCGAAGCGGCAGCUGUGGUAGGAGAAGUUGCAGCGGGAGUUCAGCGAGGCGCGGCGCGCGGCGACCCUGCUCCGCCUCGCCGACCGCGAGCUGUACGAGCUGAGGCCGCAGGGCGAGCUGUUGUAGUGGAUGAGGUGGGAGUAGUGGCGGCGGGCGGCGACGGCGGUCAAGCGGUUCCGGCAGCUCACCAAGCUCGCGUACAUGAGGGGGCGGUCGCCGCACGAGGGGCUGCUCCAGUGGAUGAGGCGGCAGGAGCUGCAGAUGCGCGUCGAGGCGUACUUCCUCCUCCACGACCGCGAGAAGCUGGCGCGGGCGCCGUCGCCGACCUUCGGGCUGGUGCAGCGGAAGCGGCACGAGCGGUUCUACAAGCCGCUCCGGCCGCUGAUGCUGCCGUAGGUCAAGCAGAAGUUCCUCUACGCCCUCCACCCGUAGUUCGGGUUGUAGAAGCAGAUGUUGCGCGACGAGCUCCGCGAGCCGUUCUGGCCGUUCGGCCCGGAGCGGGCGUUGGACAAGCUCCUUUACCGGCGGCUUCCGCAGCUCGGGUUGCGCGCGUGCGAGUGGCGGCACCGGUUCUAGAUGCCGGCCCGCGCGACCCCGGCGCUGCGCGAGGUCGAGACCCUGGUCUACGCGCUCUCCUUCUAGGGGCGGCUGUCGUAGGAGACGUUGUGCGACGAGUCGUACACGCGGCUGCACCCCGAGCACCGGCUCCGGCUCGUCGAGAAGCUCCUCUACUUCUUGGGCCUGGAGUGGCUGCAGGGGGUCGGCCUGUUCACCUCGAUGUGCCGGUACUAGUUGUAGAUGCCCUCGUAGUUCCUGCGGCUGGCGCGCGAGGUCGACAAACACCUUUACGAGGUCUCGCCGUAUCUCCGGUUGUAGUACUCGAUGUGGUAGCACUAGGUCACGGAGCCGUUCCGCUUGUCCUAUGCCCUGCGGCACCUCCACGAACUCCGCCCCAACCUCUCCCCGGAGUUCGGGCUACUGGCCGAUACGCCCACGGACGAGAGGCAGCAGCGCGAUUCGUGGCCACUCCUCUGCCUCGACCACGAGCCGACGGAGCUCUUCAAGUUGCCUUUGGACCAGUUCGACUAGUCCUACGAGCCUCUGUUGGUCCACCCGUGGCUGCUCGAGUUCCUGGUCGAGUUCCGGCACGACUUGCGGCGCCUCUGGCUCCACGCGGCCGGGAUGACGUUGACGGACUAACUGUAUACGGUCUUGGUGCCGGACGGACGGGCCUCCGGCUCCCUCGAGAAGGCCGAGCGGGUCCCGAUGCCGGAGAUGAGGUUCGAGGUGUAGUCCUUCCUGCUGCUCACCGACGACCUGGACGCCAGCGAGAGCCAGCCGCGCCGGUUCUGCCGCAAACUACUGACCUACCGCCGGGAGAGCCUCGCGCACUACGUCCCGGUCGGGGACGGCGUCAGGAAGUUGCACAAGUGGCCCAGGUCGUGGGUGUUCAAGCGCGUCCCCGACCGGUCGCGGAAGCGGCGGGUGGAGCUCCUCCGGCGCCACGGCAAGGCGGCGUCGCUCAGGGUCCAGCCGUCGAAGCAGUCGAGGUCCCAACUCGAUCACGGCACCGACGUCUGUUCGUCAAGUAGCAGAGCCCAGCAGCGCCCUACUAACUAUCGACUUGUAACGGCUCUACCCAAAACUACGACUUACGAGGGUCAGGGUACCUAACCGCUUCCUACUGACUUGACCCCCACAACAGAUGAUCCGAGUAGUAGGUCAGUCACGUCACGUACGUAAUCAAUAAUCCUUCAGUUAAGGUCCGUAACAUACAUACAUAUAGAACGCCUAAGCUACUGACGGAGGUUUUUUUACCACCCUCUAGACAGUUAAAGGUACCCCGAUCUCUGACUUUCCGAAACUAAACCCUCGUGUUAGCGCCCUGCUAACCACCGACUUGUAAAGGC
rnacentral:rRNA from 1 species